AUUGAACGCUGGCGGCAGGCCUAACACAUGCAAGUCGAGCGGAUGACGGGAGCUUGCUCCUUGAUUCAGCGGCGGACGGGUGAGUAAUGCCUAGGAAUCUGCCUGGUAGUGGGGGACAACGUUUCGAAAGGAACGCUAAUACCGCAUACGUCCUACGGGAGAAAGCAGGGGACCUUCGGGCCUUGCGCUAUCAGAUGAGCCUAGGUCGGAUUAGCUAGUAGGUGAGGUAAUGGCUCACCUAGGCGACGAUCCGUAACUGGUCUGAGAGGAUGAUCAGUCACACUGGAACUGAGACACGGUCCAGACUCCUACGGGAGGCAGCAGUGGGGAAUAUUGGACAAUGGGCGAAAGCCUGAUCCAGCCAUGCCGCGUGUGUGAAGAAGGUCUUCGGAUUGUAAAGCACUUUAAGUUGGGAGGAAGGGCAGUAAGUUAAUACCUUGCUGUUUUGACGUUACCGACAGAAUAAGCACCGGCUAACUCUGUGCCAGCAGCCGCCGUAAGAC
rnacentral:rRNA from 1 species